rnacentral:rRNA from 1 species
UACGAAGGGGGCUAGCGUUGCUCGGAAUUAUUGGGCGUAAAGAGCUCGUAGGCGGUCUGUCGCGUCGGAUGUGAAAGCCCGGGGCUUAACCCCGGGUCUGCAUUCGAUACGGGCAGACUAGAGUGUGGUAGGGGAGAUCGGAAUUCCUGGUGUAGCGGUGAAAUGCGCAGAUAUCAGGAGGAACACCGGUGGCGAAGGCGGAUCUCUGGGCCAUUACUGACGCUGAGGAGCGAAAGCGUGGGGAGCGAACAGG